UUCCCUGUGGCUCAGUUGGUAGAGCAUGGUGUUUGCAAUGCCAGCAUGGUGUGUGCAACGCCAGGGUUGUGGGUUCAAUUCCCACUAGGGGGC
rnacentral:tRNA from 1 species